UACGUAGGGUGCAAGCGUUGUCCGGAAUUAUUGGGCGUAAAGAGCUCGUAGGCGGUUUGUCGCGUCUGGUGUGAAAAUCCAGGGCUUAACCCUGGACCUGCAUCGGGUACGGGCAGACUAGAGUGCGGUAGGGGAGAUCGGAAUUCCUGGUGUAGCGGUGAAAUGCGCAGAUAUCGGGAGGAACACCGGUGGCGAAGGCGGUUCUCUGGGCCUUACCUGACGCUGAGGAGCGAAAGCGUGGGGAGCAAACAGG
rnacentral:rRNA from 1 species